AUGUACUCAUGCCAUCUUCCUCACCCCACCGCCUUCUGGCUACAGGAGAGUUCAUGACAUCCCUUCUUACCUUAAGAAAAAGCCUGUGUUUCUGAAGGUCGGAGUUGGGUUUGCCUCCAGCUCCUGGCUCUCUUCCUUGAAGGAAGUGGCGGUCAAUAAACUCUCACUACUGGAUGGGUCUUUGCUAGUUACUGGAUUCAGGGACCAACAGGACUGAAGAUACUCAUGGUCUUCAAGGAGCUGAUGGUCUAUAAGGAAAAGGACACUACAACCUCUUAACUGGCCUUGAACUUCCAGAGAUCUGAGAGGAGGAUUAAAGGCAAGCCCAGGAUGCCCAGAGAAGCCAGUUGAGAGACAUGCCAUGCUUCCUACAAGAUCAUACGGGACAGACCAUGUGAUGACCAAAGACACAAACAGCACUUAGACUACAGAACCAGAAAAUGCUUCUGCGCCAUAAGGACACACUAUCUGGUGCCCAGGAGACAGCUCAGGCAGAGAAAAGGGAGCUGGAAGCAGACAGCGAGGACAAGGGACCCAUAAGAGGUCUUCAACAACUGCCAGACUUCACUUUUGCCUAGAGAAGUCAGCUCACCCAUCAGAAAUCUACAAACCCUGGGUGUAGCUGCUCAACACUGUCGGCAUGCUCAUCACACUGGACAGAAGGCUCUGCCAUGGAAUAGCAUCUGCCUACCCAAAUAUACAUCUACACUCACAUACAAACAACACAAUUCCAGAUGUCAAGACAGAGUCUGGCGAUCUAGAACGUUCUGUAGAGAGCAGGCUGGCCAGAGACUGGCAGAUUCACCAGCCUCUCCCCCGUGAGUGCUGAGAUUAAAGGCAUGCACCACACCCAACAGGCAGUGAAGUUCCCAAACAGAAACAAUGACCUGAGCAUAACAAGGCUGCUCCAGGACAAACUACAGUGCAUUCUCCCAGCUCCCACGGAUGGAACACAUGAGGCCCUCUGAAUGUGGCUCCUUAUAGCUGAUCUUAAGGGCUUAGACAAACUUUUAAAGCAUCUACAUUAAUUCUAACAAAACUGUAAAUAGUGAAGAUUAAUCAGUUGAAUGAAUUUCCUUACUGAGAAGCAAACUGAAACGAGUAUGAUGGGACCAACACCCUCUAUGUAACACAAAGCACAGACCUUCACAUACUGUCCCACAAAAUGUGUCACUUCUUCUGUGAAGCAGCCUGAAGCAUCCACAGGGCAAACAGGGGUCGAGU